UGGUGAUAUUAAUAGAAAAUUAAAAUUAAAUAUCCCGAAAAUAAAAGAUCUACUUAAAACUAUAUUUUUUAGAAAUAUUAUAUUUAGUGUUGCAUAACUAUAAUAAAAUAGUUAGGUAGUUGCGAAACGCAUACAAUUUUAUUGAUAUCUGGAUUAAAAAGAAAUAUAUUUAGUAUACAGGACAGUUUUAAAUCGAUAAGGAUUUAAAACAUGUGAAUAAUUUUUUAUAAAAUUGCUUAUCAGUUAGUAAAACUAAUCAAUAAUUAAUUUUAAAUAAUAUCAAUUUAAAAGAAAAUCACGUUAUUUUUUUUACUUAAACUUAAACUUUAAAUAAUUUAUUGAUAAUGUAUCAAUUAGUAGUUAAAUUAAAAAGUAUUAGCAAGGAACUCGACAAAAUAUUAUACAACUGUUUAACAAAAACAUAACCUAUAGUAAAUUUUAUAGGUGAAGUCCGCCCAGUGAAAAUUUUAACGGCCGCAGUACUUUGACUGUGCAAAGGUAGCAUAAUAAUUUGGCUUUUAAUUGGAGUCUGGAAUGAGAGAAAAUAUGUAUAAAAAUUGUCUCGUUAGUAUUAUAAUAAAAUUAUUUUAAGAAGUGAAAAUACUUCUAUAAUUAAUAAAAGACGAGAAGACCCUUAGAAUUUUUACUAGAAGUAAAUAAUUAUAAGCUAAAGUUUUAGUUGGGGCAACUCUAUUUCAAAAUAAAUAAAUAGUAAAAAUAAAAUAUAUACCGAUUUUAUACAAAAAGAUAAAUUACCUAAGGGAUAACAGCAUAAUUUAAAUAAUUAAGAUUGUGACCUCGAUGUUGGAUUAGGUAUUGUUAAAGCUAAACGUUUUUGCAUAUAUUGUUCUGUUCGAACUUAUUUACCUACAUGAUCUGAGUUCAGACCGGCGUAAGCCAGGUCAGUUUCUAUCUUU
rnacentral:rRNA from 1 species